rnacentral:rRNA from 1 species
UACGUAGGGUGCGAGCGUUAAUCGGAAUUACUGGGCGUAAAGCGUGCGUAGGCGGUUCGUUAUGUCUGCUGUGAAUGCCCCGGGCUUAACCUGGGAAUGGCAGUGGAAACUGGCGGGCUUGAGUGUGGCAGAGGGGGGUGGAAUUCCGCGUGUAGCAGUGAAAUGCGUAGAGAUGCGGAGGAACACCGAUGGCGAAGGCAGCCCCCUGGGCUGACACUGACGCUGAGGCACGAAAGCGUGGGGAGCAAACAGG